UGUGGAGCUGUUCUAAAUGCUGUUCCUAAUUGCAGUACCCUGGUUGUAAAGCAGAAGUUGCCGGGUGUCUAUGUGCAGCCGUCUUACCAAUCAGCAAUAAUGUGGUUUGGAGUAAUCUUCAUAAGGCAUGGGCUCUACCAGGAUGGUGUGUUUAAGUUUACUGUCUAUAUUCCUGAUAAUUAUCCAGAUGGAGACUGCCCGCGCUUGGUUUUUGAUCUGCCUGUCUUCCAUCCGCUAGUAGAUCCUUUGUCUGGUGAACUGGAUGUGAAAAGAGCAUUUGCAAAGUGGAG